rnacentral:rRNA from 1 species
AACGAACGCUGGCGGCAUGCCUAACACAUGCAAGUCGAACGCAUUCGGGUUUUGGCCCGGGUGAGUGGCGCACGGGUGAGUAGCGCGUGGGAACCUGCCCUUCAGUGGGGGAUAACCGAGGGAAACUUCGGCUAAUACCGCAUGAUCCCGGGCGACCGGGGAAAGAUUUAUCGCUGGAGGAGGGGCCCGCGUCGGAUUAGGUAGUUGGUGGGGUAACGGCCUACCAAGCCUGUGAUCCGUAGCUGGUCUGAGAGGAUGAUCAGCCACACUGGGACUG